rnacentral:rRNA from 1 species
AUACGUAGGUGACAAGCGUUAUCCGGAUUUACUGGGUGUAAAGGGCGUGUAGGCGGUUUAGCAAGUCAGAAGUGAAAUUCCCGGGCUUAACUUGGGCGCUGCUUCUGAAACUGCUUUACUUGAGUGCUGGAGAGGAUAGUGGAAUUCCUAGUGUAGCGGUAAAAUGCGCAGAUAUUAGGAGGAACACCGGUGGCGAAGGCGGCUAUCUGGACAGUAACUGACGCUGUGGCGCGAAAGCACGGGGAGCAAACAGGAUUAGAUACCCUGGUAGGCCGUGCCGUAAACGAUGAAUACUAGGUGUAGGGGGUAUCGACUCCCUCUGUGCCGCAGUUAACACAUUAAGUAUUCCGCCUGGGGAGUACGGCCGCAAGGUUGAAACUCAAAUGAAUUGACGGGG